UAUUACGCAUUCACUUGAAUGUGUAAUACUUAAUUAAGAUAUUUGAAAGUAGAAAACUGAUCCCACAAAUAGACUCAUAGAUUCUCACUUACAAACAUUUUGAUUUGCUCUUAUUUAAGUGGAUGAAUAAUACUUAUUGAAUAAUUAGUCCUAUGUGGGGAUACAUCAUACCGGUCAAGUGGCUAUGGUCUUAAUACCACAUGAUGGACUGGGGCACCAUCCAUCCAUUAUUGCUGUGUCUCAAUUAUUAUCGGACCGACUUCCAAUUACUAGUCGGCCAUCUCCUAAGAUCUCAAACCAUUGGAUCAAUAGUUGAUAGACCGUAUCAACCCUUAUGAUGUUGACAGUUCAAUGGUUCCUAAGGUUUAAGAGUGACGGUUUGGUUAAUAGGCUACCAAAUUUUCGACGCUAUAAGGCGAAGUUAAAUAAAAAUUUAAAGAGCAUAAAUAUAUGAAAACGGACAAGUUGGCAACUAUGGCUAGUUGUGCUACUCCUACCUUACCUUGCCCAUAUUCCAUUUAAUUCUUGUUUGGUUCAUUGGGACUAAUUUUUUGCUCCUUAUUAAUGUCCUUAUCCCGAUCAAUUCUCUUUAGCUAACCACAAAUGAAAAUAACAAAUAAAUAACCAUAUCUAGACUAAUUAGCACAGUAGGAUCACUUCUAUUUGAUCACAGAUAUAUAUAUAUAUAUAUAUAUGCAGCGAGAAACUUAUACUUCGACAGUCAAACCAUUAUGAUUAUUCAUCGCCGUAGUUCACGUGAUAUGAGAUAUCUUCCUUCACAUAAAGCGCAGGGCCUUUGAUUGGGAGGACCGUGCCUGACCUGGUGUGGUGUUGGCUCGCUGCAGAUUGGGCGAGAUGGCGACCCAUUGGAUGGUGAAGGAUGAGCAGAGGCCGCAUUUGACCAAGAUGUUGCUUAACGUGACUAUAAGUGGCAGCACUGGUGCCGAACACGCGGUCAGGAGGCCGGAAGUGACAGUCGGGGAUCUCAUAUCAACUGCAGCGAGUGCAAGGUGGUGUGGGACAAGGUGGUGUGGGACAAGGUGGAGGAGGUCAGCCAAGCCAAGGCUGAUCUCCACCUCAAGCUCGAGGUCCAGAAGCCAGACCUGCUAGAGUCCUUUUGCCAUGACAACCCCAAGACCGAGGAGUGCUUGGUCUACAAGGACUCAUCAACCGGUACACAGCCAGCCACUACUGUAUUGUUAUCAUCAGUAGAGACUCACUGCUUUCUGUAAUCAGUCUCGGAUCCACAGCGGCUAUCGUCAUCAUCAGUAGAGACGCUGCUUUCUGUAAUCAAUCCCAAUCUGUAUAUGGGAUAACCUUAAAUAAAUCUGCAAUCGAUGCUCGCUUUGUGUUUAA